rnacentral:lncRNA from 1 species
AUGCUAACGGGGGGGGGGAGCGGGGGAGGGGGCGGCGGCGGGGGCGGGAGGGGGAAGGGGCCGGCGGGAGCUGCUCUCGUCGGCUCGGCGGUCGCGGCGCCCGCAGUCUGGAGGCGCACCGGAGCGGCCGGGGCGCCCCCCGCGGGAGCCCGCAGCCACCCGGGACGCGCAUCCAGCCGUGGCGCUUCGGGCCGGGCACACUGCGCCCAGGGGCUCCGCGAACCCCGCGCAGCCGCCGCUUCGGAGCUUGUGCCGCGCGGGCUGGCCGGCGGGGCGGCCAGGGCCCGGCCCGCCUCCCCAGCGCCCGCCCGGCUUCUCCCCCUGGCGGUGGGAGCCUCGGCGGCCGCCGGCGACACUAGGCGCACUGGAGCCCGAGCCGAGCCGAGCCCGAGCCGCCGCCGCCGCCGCCGCCGCUACUGCGCGCUGCUCCCGGGCUCCCUCCCAGCGCGCGGGCCGGGGUGUGGGGGACGGCGGGCUGGAGGGGCGAGGGCGGGCCAGGGGGCGCGCUCGGGGGUUGGCGCGGAAGACCGGACCCUCAGCCGCGAGGGAGCCCCUUGGUGACCAGGCAAAAUGACAGUUCUCUCCAGCUGGUUCUCAGAUGGGCACAUCAAUUAGCCUCUGCUCUCGGAAGAAGUUAGCUGCAGAACCCGCAUGUGAAUCCUUAUAG